rnacentral:lncRNA from 1 species
UGGCUAUGUGUCUUAUGCCCUACAUGUAUAAAGAGCCUUUUAUUAUUGAUGAAGAUAUAUUAUUCCAGGAGACUCUCAGCUUAUCCAGGUCAAGAGCUGGGCACCUUUCUCCAGACCGUGUUCAGCCUCUAGUCCCACAGUGAUUUGAAUACAAAGCAGUCUUCACUGCAAGUGUUCAGCACACAGGCCUAAACUCAGGCACAGUGUAUGGCAUGCAAAAAGAGGCCCGCUCUCUGGAAUGGAUGCAUGAACAUGUAUGGCUCAGUCCCUUUGCAUUCACCUGAAAUUAUAACAACACUGUUAACCAGCUAUACCCCAAUAGAAAAUAAAAAGUUUUUUUUAUUUUUAAAGAAGAGGUCCACUUUCUGCUUUAGCUUCUGGGAUGCUAGUUAACUCAGAGAAGGAAGACCAGGGAGAGAAGUAGUACCCCUACAUUCUGUCGCUUUAUUUCUCUGAAGAUUGAUGAUGAUUAUAAUUUGUUGAGGAUCUGCUAAUGUGCCAAGUACUUUAAGUAAGUGCUUGGCAUGUUAUCUCAAAAAAAAAAAAAAAACAACUCAAAAGAAUUGUUGUAUGGGGUAGAGUGUUAUUCUCAUUUUAUAAGUUAACAAACUCAGAGAUGUUAAGAGACUACCUGAAAGAAAUGGAAGGGCUAUUCUGAAGCUAGAGGCGGCCCUGGAGUCUUGAGGGCUGGCAGGUGGCCAGCACACAGGUGGGAGCUGCUGGGUGGUCUGCAGGCCCCCAGAAGAUACAAGACCGAGAUCCUGGACAGGCUCCAGGACGGUGGGCCCUGUGUAACCCCCCAACCCCCAGCUCCCACCCACAAAGCCAGACACAUCCCCCAGUGGGGUGGCAGAAUUCAUAUCAGAAUUGUGCAAACGGAAAUGUCCAAGAAAACAACUAUAGUCCCAGGUUACCUGGUUGGUAGCUGGUACAGUGGGGCCAGAGCCCACGCACAAGCAUUUCCCAGCUGGGUCAGCAGUGGGGGAGCCUCAAGGCCGUGCUGGAGCCUGGUCAGCAGGGCAGCCAAGCAGCACAUGUAAAAUGAGAGUGACCCUGCUCCUUGAAGAAGUUUCGGAGACUGUGUAGAUUUUUACAGCUUUAUGUAAAUUUAUGUGAGGUGACAUUCAGUGAAAUCGCUCAUCUGUAUGAUCCCUUUAAUUCUACCUGCAGCUUCAGUAAAAUUGAAAUUUAAAUCAUACAUUUAACUUAAUGGUACAACUUAGAUGUCAGGGGAAAGAAAAACCACUCUGUUUAAGAAGAAAAGACCUUAGCGCUAAAAAUAACUAUUGAGGGACGAAAGAGCUUUUGUUCAAUGGACUCUUAUCUGUAAAAAAGAAAAGGCCAAAUUUUAAUCCAAAGAUUUAGAUUCAAGUCAGGUUUUGAAAGAACAAAUGGCCUCAGUGUGGGGGUCUGCCAUUUCAUAUUAAAAUUCCUUUGUCUUAUGAUUUUUCCCUCUGUUUCUCAUGUAUCUUAUUUUUCUCAGUUGCUCUUAUUUUACUACAUGUAUAUAUUAAAGGCCAAGUGUAAUGAUUAAUAUUACAAAGCAGAACCGUUGGGCCAUUCUGAAAAAAUUAUUUCGGGCUUUUAAGUAUUAAGAAAAAUGAUGUCCAUCUAUAUCCUUUAAACUAUUUUUUCCCCAAACUAACUGAUUUAAUGGAUUAAAAUACUUACUAUAAAAAAAAAAUUAGUAGUACAGAAGACUGUUUAGAAGAAAGUAGAAAGUAUCCCUAAUCUCACUAUCUUGAUAGUAGGAUUGAGAAGCAAGUUUUAUUGAUUUAAAAAAGCAUUUUGUACUUUGAGGAUAUUAACCUUAUGUGGGAAAUAAUGUAAUUUCAUAAUUUGUUCUUUAUCACUCAACCUUUUAUUUUUUCAAUUAAUAAAUUUUAUUUACUCAGUAAAACUUGAAACACAGUAUAAAAUUAUAUCCAAGAUACAAUAAACAGAUGAAUAUCAGAAAAAAUAAAAAUAUUUCAAUAUAGUACUGAUGGUGGUAGUAGUUCAGUCGCUAAGUCAUGUCUAACUCUUGUGACCUCAUGGACUGUAACUCACUAGGUUUCUCUGUCAAUGGGAUUUCCCAGGCAAGAAUAUUGAAAUAGGUUGCCAUUUCCUUCACCA